rnacentral:misc_RNA from 1 species
GAAAUGCGAUAAGUAGUGUGAAUUGCAGAAUUCAGUGAAUCAUCGAAUCUUUGAACGCACAUUGCGCCCUUUGGUAUUCCAAAGUGCAUGCCUGUUCGAGCGUCAUUUGUACCCUCAAGCUUUGCUUGGUGUUGGGCGUCUUGUCUCUAGCUUUGCUGGAGACUCGCCUUAAAGUAAUUGGCAGCCGGCCUACUGGUUUCGGAGCGCAGCACAAGUCGCACUCUCUAUCAGCAAAGGUCUAGCAUCCAUUAAGCCUUUUUUCAACUUUUGACCUCGGAUCAGGUAGGGAUACCCGCUGAACUUAAGC